GACAGAGGGGGCAAGCGUUGCUCGGAAUUACUGGGCGUAAAGGGCGCGUAGGCGGGAUGGCAAGUCGGUCGUGAAAUCCUUCGGCUCAACCGAAGAACGUCGAUCGAUACUGCUGUUCUUGAGGGUUGCAGAGGAGACUGGAAUUCCCGGUGUAGCGGUGAAAUGUGUGAGAGAUCGGGAGGAACACCGGUGGCGAAGGCGGGCCACUGGCUCAUUACUGACGCUCAGGCGCGACAGCGUGGGGAUCAAACAGG
rnacentral:rRNA from 1 species